UGUCUUAGGCUCGAUCAGCUAGCGUU
rnacentral:sRNA from 1 species